GGGCCGGGGCGGGCGGGCGCUAGCAGCCCGGGCCCCGGCACACUCCGGGCGCCCGCUUAUUUACGGUGCUUUAUCAGCGGCUGUGCGCGGCGAUAAAGUUUAUGAAAAGAGGCGGCGUCUGCGGCCGGCGGGCGGCCCGCGCUCCUUUCCCACACUGAUUAGGAUCAGCCAGGGCUUUGGAAGCUGCAGUUAAGGAUCUCGGGUGCCCGGAGCCGCGUCUCCCCCUUCCUGCCCCGCCCGCCCGCCGGCUGCUGGCCCGCGUGGGAGCCGAGUAAUUGCAUACCUAUUUUGCUGGACGCCUCUAAGCCCGCAGCCUGAGAGAGAUUCCUAGAUGAAGAGCCGUGACCCUGGUCCUCAAGGUUCUGGAGUUCAGGAGGCCAGACAGUCCAGUGAAGAGUAACUGCACCCUGGGGCUCUAGAAGCCAAGACACCCAGGAUCCUGUUAAUUCCGGAUUUGGAAAAAUAGACCUGGAAAGGAGGCGGGCACUCACCACUUCAUUAUCUUUGAAGAAAGGGUCACAGGAUUCUUCCCAUCUGAUCACAGUAGCAUUUACUGCUUAUUCUGUUCAUCUGUUACUAAAGAGAAGAUUGUUCAUCCCUGUAUGUGUUGUACCCCUUAAGGAAUGGGAUCAUUAGAAUACAUGCAAUCCUUCCCACCAAUCGGGACAUUGGAGUUGACAGCUAAAUAGGAGGCUUUAGAGAAGUUAAACAAUGUACUCAAGGUCAACCGCCAGGAAAGCAAGAGCACCAAAACUUGGACCUGGUUCUGCUGAAGCCAAAGUGCACGCUCCAGCCUACACCGCUCUGCUAGCCCGAGACUGUCUGAGUCUGUUGCAGAGUAAUUGUGAAAGGCUGUGGGAAUUCCAGGACUAUCAAGGAAUGACAGUGGGUCCCGGGAAGAUGGAAGUGAACCAGGGCUCUCCUGCUCACCAACUCACUGUUUGAUGCUCUGAACAUUGAGUCUGUAUGUUUCUGGCUGCCAAACGAAGGACAAGCAGGAAGAGCGAGGGACCUGCCAAGAGAGAUGCUGUCGGAGGACUUCGUGAUAAUCCAGCCACUGUAUUCAGCCUCGCCCUCUCGAAGUGGUCCUGCAAGGGGGCUGACCGAAAUCAGUGCUCCUGAGAGCUGCAGACCUCUGUGUCAGGGUGCCCUCCACAGUGCGUGCCUUCAGCAGUGCCCUUGCUGGACCUCCUUAGCCUGUGAACUUCUGAACUCUACAUCUGCAGGUCUAAGAAUGUCCACUGAGGAGGGAACGCUUUGAACCGGGCAUCAAGCUCUGGGCCGGAUUCCAAGUCCGCUCUGAAAACAGUCGGAGCUACCCCCGGUCCCCUACUUGCUGGGCAGAAUGGCUGAGGGAGUGGCUCCCCACUUCUGCACGGUCCCCCGUGUGGUCAGCAUGGCCCCCCUGCUCCAAGCCAAGGCACCCACAAGGCAAGGUGCUUUCCUGAUGGCAGGACAUCCUCUCCCCACUCAGACCCCCAACAAUUUCUCCCCAGAGACACAAAGCAUCUUUAUUUUAAAGGCUCCAUGUAGCAUGUCCAGAAAUUUCUCUUGUUAUUAAGGAGGGGGUGGGGUGGGGAAAGGGCCGAUGAAGCUACUUACUUAAUAGCUCCUAACAGCUGUGGAAAGUUUGAUGCGGCAGGAGCACCCAGACAGAAAAUUAAAAAACUAAUAAAGUCCUCAGUGUGGGGGCGCUGGCAUCAGGACAGCUUUACUUCUCCAGACACCUAAUAAAGAGACAUUCCGGGACACUCACUCACAAGGGGAGUCUGCAGGGGUCACGGAGAACAGUGGAAAGCGAGCCAUGGAAACAUAGCAGUCACUCACAUCGCUGCGGGGAAGGUUCGUGUGCUUCUCUGCUUUCCCCCCCCUUUUCUCCAUUUUAGAAAAAUGACAGGGUGGACUAAAAGGAAGACAAAAAAGAGAGAGAGAAAGAAAGAAGGAAAGAAAGAAGAAAGAAAGAAAGGAAGGAAGGAAGGAAGGAAGAAAGAAAGAAAGAAAGAAAGAAAGAAAGAAAGAAAGAAAGAAAGAAAGAAAGAAAGAAAGAAAGAAAAAAGAAAGAAAGAGAUAAAGAAAGGGGAAGGAAGGAAGGAAGGAAGGAAGGAAGGAAGGAAGGAAGGAAGGAAGGAAGAAAAGGAAACAGGAGGUCCGUUCCAGGAGCCCUGGGUAUACAAACCUCACUUUCUCGUAGACAGGAGCAUGAGGCUGAUGUUUGUCAUUUUAGGCAUUAGAGGGACAGGAGGUGAUGGCCACCUUGGAGGGACACAUUGACACGGGAAGAGAGGUGGUUUGGCUGCUGCAGGUAGCAAAGAAAGGGGCUUUGGGGAAUUGAGGUUUACGAGGCUGGAUUUUAUGAAGCCCCCUCCUCAUGGCCGAUUUUCUCACGUGGAUGUUUCCACUGCCAUUACUUGGUCAUUUUGGAUCUGAGUUUCUUGGGGUCUGCUAGAUUUUGGGGCAGUUGGUUGAGACUUCUGGUUUUAAGGGACAUUUAUGUUAUUCUGUCUUCAUCCCCAAGUCAGACUGUGUGUAUUUGAAGAAAAAAAAUGGUGAGUUUGGACAAGCAAGCCAUCAGUCAGUUGUGGAGAUAUUCCAUUGAGCUGGUGGUACCAGGCUUCUCACGCAGAGAAUGCUCCAGUACAAAAAUUGGAAUGGAGCAGCCUGUUAAGGAAAGAGAGUAAAGUGAGAUAAGUCAGAGAAAGAUAAAUACCAUAUGAUCUCACUUAUAUGUGGAAUCUUAAAAAACUGAACUCAUAGAAAACAAAGCACAGAUUGGUGGUUGCCAGGGGAAAAUGAGUGAGAAAAGAAAAAAAGGAAAAGAAAAGAUGGUGAAAAGAAAGAGUUGGUUCCCUUUUCUGCUCUGAUAGGGAGUUCAAGUUUUUUGAGAAUGGCUUGGGUUGAUGUUCACUGUCUGCACAAUGUCCUGGCUGAUCCAUGAUCUGGAGACCAGCAGCCAAGCGGUUUCUGGGGAGCCCCUCUCCCCAGCGGUGCUCACAACUGUGCAGUGUUAUGUUUGCUUUAGAAGAAUUGGUUCACAUUGUGCAAAUUUGUGAAAUGGCUUUUGCACAUGGGCACGGAGCUAGUCCUCGUGCACAGUACCCCGGGGGCUCCCGGCACGACAGAAACGGGGCUGGAGGAAAGGGAUCUGGGCCCAGUCCCAGCCGGCUCCGCCACUCAUGGGCAGAGGUUGCUCGAACAAAUCACUUGCCUCCUGUGGGCCUCUGUGUCUUGUUUUGUGGGGUGAAGGCGUGGGAAGGGCCUUCUGAGGCCCCUUCCAGCUCCCACAUGCCGUGAUUCCGUGAGCUGAGAAGGUUGGUCUCCUGGCUCUCCUGUGUCAGAAAGAGAGCUUUUCUCCUGGCUUUUCAUGUAACUGUGGCUUGGCAGAGACAGAGUGGCAGCCCUUGGGUGUGAUGCAGGAGAGAUUGGUGGUUAUGUGAGUAAAAUGAAAUACGGGCUUUCGAACUUCUUAAGUCCAGAAACUCUUUCUUGGUCUUUUCUGUUACUUGGGGAAUUUUUCUUAAAAAAAAAAAAAAUAAAUAAAUAAAAGAGAGGUUUUUCUCCUAUGAAGAUGGUGUCACAUUUCAGAAAAGAGAAAUGCUGCCACGAGGAUAGGAAUGGUCUGGCUUCUAGUGGGUAAAUCUCUCUGAGGGAGGCCCGGGAAGUUCUGAUUUAUUCUGGAAGGAUCCAGACCGGUGCUUCUCAAAUUUCAAAGUGCGUCAGGAGCACUUGAGGGUCUUGUUAAAUCCAGAUUCUGAUUUAAUAAGUGUGGGGUAGGGCACGAGCUUCUGCAUUUCCAGUGAGCUCUCUGGAAUUGCUGUUGCUACUGUUGGCCCCGUGGGCUACACCGCAGACCUUCCCCGGGCUUCUCCGGAGAGCCGCAGAUCUUUCGGGCUGGGAACACUGCAGCCAGGCCCUCCAUAUUGGCGCUCUUCUGGCCUCUGGGUUUAGCUGAAGCCCAGAAUAAACCUGCAAGGUCAACAGUUAACACAGAGUCCUGUCCCUCUGGAAGGUCGGCCUGCCACACUGACUGAGAAGCCGUCUUUAUGUAGGUUUUCCCUUUUGCCUCCUGACCCUUGAAUAGGUUUUUUUUUUUCUCUCUCUGUUUCCAGCAUUAGGAGAAGAAAAAUUGGACAGUGGGGUGAGGAAGAACAACGCAUCAAUUAGAAAGCUACAGUAUAGAAUUAAAUGAGCCCCAUACUCUGGCUCAUUAACAUUAUAUUACUUAGCAAGUCUAGAACUAGUGUUUCAGCUAAAUAAAGAAAUGUAAAUCAUUUAAUACACCUUUCUUAAUUGAGCCUCACGCCAGGGGCACUUUCCUAAUGGCAUUAUGGCACCAAUCACCUCAUUAGGAGAGAAGAGCUGCUUUUAUGACAGGUUUUAGAAAUUAAAAUGGCAGAAGGAUGUCCUUCAGGAGGACUCAUUCUGGGCUGAGCUGAGCUGAGCAAUGAGCGGGGGCCAGAAGGGCACAGGAGGGCCUGGGCACUGAAGGCAGGAGGAUGAUCUGUGUCCGGUCUGCCCCCAGAUUUGGGGACAAGAUCUGGAUUCACUCUUCACGUGUUCGUUGCUCAAGAAUGUAAACCCCAGUGGCUCCCCUACUUGAGUUUAAGUGAGAUUCACUGGGGAGGCUUUUGAGGAACUCAGGUUCCAGGGCCCCACCCUGAGAUUCUGACCCAGGAAGUCUGGCUGGGCUCCAGCCAAACCAUACUUGUAAGAAGGUCCCUGGGCGGGAAGCUGGCAGAUGCUAUUUCUUCUUUAGGAAUUGUAGAGAGGGUCCCAGUGACUUCGCCCCAAACCCAGCUGAGCGUAUGCAGUGCCUCCAUCACCUGGGAUUUUCAUCUUUCCGAAGAACAGAUAAGGUUUGCGUGGGUUUGCUUCUUCGGGCACAAUGCAGCCAUUUUUUUCUUUUUUUCUUCUCUGCCUGUCUGGCUUGCUUGGGUUGGUUUGUGUGGUUGAGUGGCAGGGCAAACUGGGUUUACGCGUAGUUUGGAUGCUUACUGGCUAUGUGACAUACGGCAGGUCAUUGUGCCCCCGGGGCUACGGUUUCUUCAACCCCAACAUGGGAGUGGUCAAGUGGGAAUUGUAAAUUGUGUGGACAUGCUAUUGAUCAAGACGCCAAUUGUCUUUUGGCAACUUUGUUCUCUUCUCUGUGAAAGGAGAAUGUUGCACUCAACUAUGAAUUCGGUGAGUCUAGGUAGCAAGUGGGCUUCUCUUUCUGGCAGCUUUACAUGUUUUCCUUCCCUGUGGUAACAAGAACUUGAAUGUCCAGAUUUUUAUGUAAAUAUUGAAUUUAUAGCAAUGGUUUUGUAGAGUGUUCCAGUUUCCUGGGUUGAUGAUUAAUGUGGUUUUCUCAGAGUGCGUUGUGUCUUCUCCUUCUAGCCCUGUUAAUGCAUGAAGGCUUUAUGCUGUUUCUGCUUUUCCCUCUAUUGACAUGUGGAAGAGGCAGCAGAUGAUUUCUAUGUUACCCCAUAGGGCAGAAGAAGCACCAGCUGCUGACAGAUAUGUAGGGAGGCAGAGUUGGGCUUCAAAAUGGAAAUUUCCUACUAAUUAGAACCACUUUCCUGAUCCAAAACCUUUGUCGGCUCUACAUUGCCUACGAUUCAUGCACAGAGUUCUCUGCCUGGCUCUCCAUGUCCGCAUCAUCUGGCUUUCGUGGGUUUUGCUAAUCCUAAAUCCUCUCUGCCAGUAACUUGAAUCGUGUGGUCUUAACUGACUUUGGUGAUGGUCACUCUUCAAUCCACAUUUCCAACCCAGAUCCUGUUCUAAAUUUCCAACAGCCUCCAGAGCAUCUCCAGUGGGCUAUCUUUUCAUUACUGCAAAUUCAUAAUGUCCUCAUGUCCAUCUAUCAGCUUUCCCUUCACCUCACUCAUCUUCCCAACUCUCUCAUUUCUGUUUGUGAAAGCAGGAUCUAGCCCUAGGGAACCAAAACUGGCUUGGGAGACCCUGAACCUCCUCGUUCUAUCAUCUGAUCUUUUACUAGGACCCGCCGCUUUGAAAUAUCUGAGUUUAACAGUUACAAGAAAUCUUUUCCAGUUCUUAUAACCCAUCCCAUUGCUUCUUCCUCUAAAUCAACACUGGAAACCUCUCUAGACUUUAUAGCUCCUGAGUCUUGCUAGAUCUCCCAUGUAGAGAAUGGUUUGUUGGCAGCGCAUGUGCAGAUGGGGUUUGUAGAUAACAUAUACCAAAUGUCAGUGCACAUAUGUGAUGCCAAAGAAGCUUGCAUGUGGUAUGCUUUCAUUAAGAAAAAUACAGCUUCUACAGUGAACAGAGUUAUUGUCCUGAUCAGCUCUACACUGACCGAAACACAACCUGGGGUGCUUCCUAACUUACUGUUAUAUUAUUGUAUGCAUAUUACCUCUCUGAGCUAUCAAAGACGUGGUCUUAAAGCUUCCUGUUACUAUUACAUUUCUAUCAGUUUUCCUCAGAAUGUCUAAGAAUUCUUGUUUUAUUUUUUUUAUUGUAUAUUAUGUGACAUAUAAAGGUUCAUGACAAUUAUAUUUCUUUAUGAGCUGCUCACUUUGUCAGGAUUUAUCUAAAUUUCACUUAAGCUUUUCAUUUAAAUUCUACUUGGAUGGAGAACAUUGUGAUCCUGAUUUCUUUAUAGAUUGUGCGUUUACAUGUGUGAUAUAUUUGCUAGCUUAUCUUUCCUUAUUCUGAUACUUUCCUUUCUUUGUUCUAGGUGCUGUCUUGGGAUAGCAUAUUGGUAGGUUUCGUUUUUCAAAUAUAGGAGUUUAAACCAUUUAUAUUUAUUGUCAUGGUUACUAUGUUAGUUUUUACUUUAGUCAAGUUGCUUACGCUUUCUGUUUUUUAAACUACUUUGUGCUCUUUGCUUAAAUUUUUUUGUUUGUUUGUUUUUUUGCUAUGCUGUUUGUUUUUUCUUUUUCUUUUUUCCCCUGCUAGUAAUAUGGAAUGUACAGGUCCUAUUUUUAAAUUAUAUUCGAAUUGCCUUGAUAAUUUAAAACACAGGUAUAGGAACCUAUAAUUUUCUAAUUACUGAUCUAAAAAAAUGCUACCUAUCAACUGUCUCCUAUGUAAGGUUAAGAAACAAAUGCCCUGUUAUUUCCCCCUUCUACACUAGUUCACUCAGUUCCCUAUUUUAUUUAUUUAAUCUGGGAUUUUAGACCCAGGUAUUACUUUUUUCUUCCAACAUAUUGUUCUAUAAAAUUUUUCAAACUACAGAAAAGUUGGAAGAAUUCUACAGUGAACACUCCUAUACCCAGCAUCUCAUUUCCACCAUUGCCAUACUACUUUGCUUGCUUUAUCAUGUAUCUAUCCAUUCAACCCAUCUUUUUUAAAAAAAUGCAUUUUGAAGUGAAUUGAAGAGGUCAGAGUGCUUUGCCCUAAAUACUUCAGCACAAAUGUCAUUAACCAGAGUUUAAUAAUUACUUGCAGUUUUCCCCCACUUUGAGGUGAAAUUUACAAACAAUAAAAGGCACAAAACUUUUGUGUGUAUAUUCAUUGAAUUUUGAAGACUGUAUGCCUGGUGUUAUUUUUUAACAUUAUUUUCUUUUUCAAUAAUUAU